rnacentral:lncRNA from 1 species
AUGCCCUUCCACCAUGAUGUUCUGCCUCAUCACAGGCCCAGAAACAACAAAGCCAGCAGACCGUGGACUGAAAUCUCUGAAACUCAUCAGAACCUUCCCUUCAUCGUGAAGCUGAAACAGUUUGGUAGAAAUUCCUCUCUUCCUGGAAUUUGUUCCUCCCUGUGUCCAGGAACAUAUGUGACUUGGCUGCAGCUCCAGGCUUUAUUAUGGGACCGUUGAAGACACACCAGGCAGGGGUGACAGGAGGCAGACGGGAAAUGAAAGGAAUAAAGGGUGAAGCUUAGAAAAGAUUUCUUGCUGAAAAGGUGGAGCCAUGAAGUCAAAGCAGCGUGCACUCCCAAGUCCCUGAUGUUGAGCUAACGGUCGUUAGCCAGAUUCACACCGGAUUGCACACGAGCAAGAAAUAAACCUUGUGUUGGGCCAGAGACAGUAGGUGUUUUUCACUUCCACCAACUCUAGCCUGUUUGACUUGGGAAAGUGUAUCCGUGACCUGUAACUGGCCUUGGGGUUUGAGAACCCCAAGAAUAGCUUGCUAAAUAUUUUGAGCGUGUGACGAUGAGCACUUUCUGAUCCACUGCCUUACAGGAUAAACUUAAAUGCUGUCUUUUUAUAGCUAGUGUUUAUUCGACUGUACUCCCUUGUGAUGUCCCCUCUUGUUUGUCCUGACUCUCGUUACCAUGUAGAGAAAUAAAUCUGGGCUUCAAAUUCAGAAGAUCUGAGUUCGAGGUGUGGCAGAGCUUUUUUUUAAUAUGCUAUAUAACCUAAUGCAAGUUACUUAAUUCCCUAAGACAGUUUCCUUAUCCAUGAAAUGAGAACACAAGAUUAAUAGAAGUUUCAUGUGUGUGUUUUUAUAUAUCAGUUGCUAAGUAAAUAUUAUUUAACUUUUAUCAUAGCUAAUAUAUUUUUACUUGUUUAUGACUGUGAGGGUUAGAGUCCUAAAUUUGAAGCACUGAUGGGCCAGAAGCAGGAUUUACAGUUCAUUUUUAUUUUUACAUAGCAGUGUUGUCCUAUAGAAACAUGAAGCACAGAGAUAAUUUAAAACUUUUUCUAGUAGCCAAAUUUGAAACAGUAAAAAAAAGAAAUUAGUUUAAAUCAUAUAUUUAACUCAAUACUAUAUUAAACACUGAUAAUUUCAACAUGCAACCAGGAUAAAACCUUAUGGUCUUAUUUUCUUUGUUUGUAGUGAGUCUUUAUAAUCUUGUGUGGGCUCUGUACAUGUAGCAUACCUCGAUUCAGAUGGACAUCUUUCGAGUGCCCAGUAACCACACGUUGCUGAUGGCUACCACACUAAGCCUGCCACAUUGAGCAGUUAGAGGCCUAAAUCAGUAUCUUGAUUGACUGACUGAUUGCUUUUGGCUCUCCUGCCCAUAUGCUCUGCUUUAGGCCCACUGGUCUUUGACCAUUUUCUCUGCAUGCUUUGCUGCAUUUGAUGUGCAUUUACUGCACUUCAUACAUUUCACGAAAUAUUUACUGAGAGUCAACAUUCCCUUCUUCUUAUUUUCUGUUUAAACAAGUUAUCCCUGCUCAGGUUGUAUUCUGCAUGCUCUGUAGAACUUUUUCAGUUCCCCAGCGCAUCGCAUCCUCUCUCCUCCGAAGUCCUACCACUUAUCACAUGUUACAAACACAUAAUUUGUCUCCUAUGUCAUAAUUGACUCCGAGCACAUAAGCAUCUACUCAAUAUUAUGCCAUGGCUUAGAAAACCAGCUCUACUCUUUAGAAAUACACAGUGAACUUGUAGAUUUUAGGUGGAAAGACCAAGGAGGCAAUAUGAUAAAAAGAAUACUUUUCAUGAUAUAAAUCAAGUAUUCCCUAAAUAUUUUCCUGGGGCAAUAAUUCUGCUAUUCAGUCUCUCAUCUCAAAGAUGUCUUCAUGGUUAAAUAAAAUUGUAGAAAGGAUAUUUUAACAAGGUUGGACAGAACUGUGUUAAAACAGGACUUCUCUGAAUCUUUAAUAUGCUGAUGUAUAGUGGCCUUCUCUGACAGCAGUAUAUAGCAUGCAACCAUUCUAUAUCACCCUUGAAGAAGAAAUCUUUCUCCUUGGAACAGCUUUAUAUGAUGACAGUUCUAUAAAACCACAUUUGGGACAUGGGGAUUUAGAAGUCCAUGAGAGUUGUAGGAAUCAAAACCUGAGCAGAGGGUGAAAGUAAGACUCGCAGUUCUCCAAGGAGAGGUGAGGAGGGGUCUGAAUGUCAAAGUCAGGAGGAUUUAAUGGGUAAUCCUUUGGUGGGUGCUAGUUAUUUUAUCUCUGUGUUCUCUGAACACUCUGUGCACUAUCUCAGUUUCUUUGCUCAUGCUAUUCCCUUAGCUGGAGAAAUCCCUUCCCAUCCUUCCCCUCCUACAAAAAUCUGUCUCAUAACGUAUGGUCUAACUUAAACGCUACUUCUUAUUGAACGUAUCUACCAGAUCAUCCAUCCGCAUGCGAAUUCUCCUUUCUUCUGCCCUCCUCAACUGAAUCUUUAUGAUGGAACUCUCACAAAUUACAAGGCACAAUUAUUAGUAUUUUGGUUUUCCCCACAAGAUAUCUUAAGUUCUUUUUCUUUCUACUUCUGAUCAUACUGAAUGUAUAACUUGGUAUACACUAAUUCUUCAAAGACAUUCAUGGAACGGAUAAAUAUAUGAAUAUAAGGAUGUGUGCCUUGUCCUCACACAGAUGAAUUGGAAAGUUCAUCACACGGGAAUUGAGCACCUUAUAUUUUUUAUAUAAUUUUUUAUUUUAGUAUAGUUUUAGAUUUACAGGAAAGAUGCAGCGAUAAUGCUCAGGUGACUAUACGCCACUCACAGUUGCUUCUAUUAUCAUCAUCUUAUUUAGCAAGGUGCAUUUAUAGCAAUUAACAAUGCUCAUCACUCACCUUUCCUCAUUUUCCUGAAAGUCUUCUUUUCUGUUCCAGCCUUGCUAUGAGGACAUCACGAUACGUUUAGUUGACAUAUUUCCUUAGGGUCCUAGGUACUGGGAUGGUAUCUCAUUCCCUUCUUAUUUUUGAUGAUUUUGGCAGUUUUGAGGAGUAGUGGUCAGGACUUCUGAACAGUUCAUAGUCAGGAUUUAUCUGAUAUUUUCCCAUGAUUAUUCUGGUUUUGUGGUUGUGGGGAAGGGGAUUAAAAAGCCACUAUUAUAUAAUCACCAGGACAUGCUGUCAACAUGUUUUACUAUUGAUGUUAAGCUUACUCACCUGCCUAAACUAUCAUCUGUCCUUUAAGAAACUUUCCACAAUCACCAGUAUUGCUUUUUGCCAGUGUCACAGCU